rnacentral:rRNA from 1 species
AAGACGCUGGUACCCACGGAUGGCACCGUGCGCUAUGAUCCUCGGCGUCGGGCCUUUCAUGCCGAGCCACGCACGUACCGCGACGCACUCCAGGAUGAACAAUGGCGCCCCGCCAUGGAGGCCGAGUUCUCCGCUCUUCAGCAGAACAAGACAUGGACUUUAGUUCCACGGCCGCCCGGAAAAAAUGUUAUUGGAUGCAAAUGGAUUUUCAAGGUGAAGCACAAGUCUGAUGGUUCUCUCGACAAGUUCAAAGCUCGUCUAGUCGCACGCGGCUUCACACAGCAGUACGGAAUUGACUACUUCGACACCUUCUCACCUGUGGUUAAGCCUGCAACCGUGCGACUCGUGCUCUCUCCUGCAGUUUCCCAUGGAUGGCAGCUUCGUCAGGUUGACAUUAGCAAUGCAUUCCUGCAUGGUAUUCUCAUUGAAGAAGCUUAUAUGCAGCAGCCACCCGGCUUCCAGGAUCCCUCGCGUCCAGAUUAUGUGUGCAAGUUGCAUAAAGCUUUAUAUGGCCUGAAACAGUCCCCUCGUGCCUGGUACGCCCGACUGAGUGAACAUCUUCAGCAGCUGGGUUUCUAUCCUUCAGCAGCUGACACAUCUUUGUUCAUUUUUGCAUGCGGUGGUGUCACCAUAUACAUGCUGGUUUAUGUUGAUGAUAUAGUCAUUGUGAGUUCUUCAUCAUCGGCCAUGACACGACUUCUUCAGCACCUCUCCGUCACAUUUCCUGUGAAAGAUCUUGGCUCUCUUCAUUAUUUUCUGGGCAUUGAGGUGCUUCGCAAUUCCGGGGGAAUCACUCUUAAUCAGAAGAAGUAUGCUCUUGAUCUUUUACAGCGUACAGACAUGGCAAAUUGCAAACCAGUCUCAACACCGAUGUGCACUCAUGAGAAGCUUAGUCGGGAAUCUGGUCAUCGACUGUCCGAAGAUGAAGCUUUUCGUUACAGAAGCACGGUUGGCGCUCUCCAAUACUUGACCUUAACACGGCCUGAUCUCUCAUUCGCCGUUAAUAAGGUGUGCCAGUACUUGUCCUGUCCGACUGAUAUUCAUUGGGAAGCAGUGAAGAGAAUACUUCGGUUUGUGAAAGGGACGGUGUCGACCGGCUUAAAUAUUCGGCGCUCGCCUUCAACUCUAUUGAGUGUGUUCACGGAUGCGGAUUGGGCUGGCUGUAGCGAUGAUAGGCGUUCUACUGGCGGGUUCGCAAUUUUCUUCGGUCCGAAUCUUAUUUCAUGGAGUGCACGCAAGCAGCCGACCGUGUCU